CCUGGAGCGAGUGCAACGCUCAAAGCCAGAUGACAAGGAGCGACAAAUUGAAACCAAACAGCGACGCUUCCUGUGAACAGAAUAGGCAGAUCACGAAAAAAUGCAAAGCAAAAGGUGCCAAGCCGACGAAAGGGCCCCGUCGCAAUAGGCAGUAAACGGUGUUGCCAAUACUAGGAUUAAAUCGUUUUGAAUAUUGUUCCAUCUAAAUAGUAAUUCAUUCACUAGAAAACAUGUCAAAAAUCAUCAUCUCCUUUUCUCCAUCAAUCCGAGAGUUGAUCUUACAAACGAAGGUUACAAACGGUGAUACAAUGUAUGUCACAUAAUGAAAAAUAGAAGAAAAAAACAGCCUGUAAAGAAAAUACAUACUAGUUAAUUCCACUAUGACCAAGAAAAGACAAACGUUUCUUUGACUAUUUGGAUUUGAAUUUGAUGCGAUCACAAACUUGUCUUACCAAGGGAAAAUCGUAACUACAUCAUAAAAUACAGGUGAUGUUUUUUAGGGAACUUUUUUUAGUAUAUUGAAUAAUGUAAAAUUAAUUACCAAACAUUCUGCAAGAAAAGAGACGAAAUGUAUUUUCCGUUCAUAAUAGUUUCUGACCUUUGUUUGUAAGAUAAUUAUUGUCCUGUGUGAAGCCCAAGGGCCCACUGCCAUUCACAUUGUAGUCGAUCCUUUUCAUCCCUCAACCCUUUAUCAAGUAACUCAUGGAAACUUCACAAAGGAUUAAUUGCAGCCUGGUUGAGGGUGAGCAACAUUUGAAGAAAAAUGAUGGUUAUUUGGUGCUGCAUCAGUAGUUUCUUUGAUAUAAUGAUUUUGAUACUUCACUGUGUGAAAUUCACAGAUUUUUGGCGUCUCUAGCCAGGGGUGCCAAAGGAAUUGUAUUUGACCGUAAAUAUAUACGCAAUAUCAGCUGAACCUUCCAUGAGUUCUAAAAUGUAUAGAUGUUUGUUGUAGACUGUAUAGUUAUAAUGGGAAAAUAUUAAGCAAUGUGUGUGAAAACAUGUUUUUGAUUCAACUGAUUUGUUUGUUGUUUGGGUUUAGUGUUCAUCAUAUUUUUUACUUAACUAAAUAUAACUUUGUGGAUGUGAAACCUAAUCAUAUUAUAAAAUAUUGUAUUUGACACAUUCAAAUAAAAAAUAAAGAUUGUAAAAAUCU